rnacentral:rRNA from 1 species
GAGUUUGAUCGUGGCUCAGAUUGAACGCUGGCGGCAUGCCUUACACAUGCAAGUCGAACGGCAGCAUGAUCUAGCUUGCUAGGAUUGAUGGCGAGUGGCGAACGGGUGAGUAAUACAUCGGAACGUGCCCUGUAGUGGGGGAUAACUAGUCGAAAGAUUAGCUAAUACCGCAUACGACCUGAGGGUGAAAGUGGGGGACCGCAAGGCCUCAUGCUAUAGGAGCGGCCGAUGUCUGAUUAGCUAGUUGGUGGGGUAAAGGCCCACCAAGGCGACGAUCAGUAGCUGGUCUGAGAGGACGAUCAGCCACACUGGGACUGAGACACGGCCCAGACUCCUACGGGAGGCAGCAGUGGGGAAUUUUGGACAAUGGGCGAAAGCCUGAUCCAGCAAUGCCGCGUGUGUGAAGAAGGCCUCGG